CCUACUUGCCGCGAGCUAUAAGAAUCCAUCUUGUCGUGCGGAUAAUUCCGAAGUCGUGAUGCAUCCUUCAAUUCUAAGUCAUGGUGCCCUACCAGAAAUAAUCAGAUGCAGCACAUGCUGCCGUCUGUAUCAUUGCCCGCUUUGUCCUAACUUUAGGCCAGCGAAGCUGAACAGACUAAAGAUCCACCUGGAUGUGCAUAUAAAAAAUGCAGUGUUUUUCCAAAACUUAAGAAUUUGCAGAUGCACGCUACCUUGUAGAAAGGAUGGUCAUUUCCACUGCCCUAGGUGCAGUGAGACAGUGAUUAAAAGAAACACUUUUGUGGAGCAUCUGGAAAAGUGCAGCGGUGUGACCAAAAAGACUGAGUCCUCAUGCUUACUUCAGACAGCCUUACCUCCCAUUCCAUUGCUUCAACAAGCAAAAUCUUCCUCUCCACAGCCUGAAGGGGAUCAAUGUUUCCCUCAACUAAAGAAAGAAGUAGAACCUUCCCAUCUGCCCUCAUUCAGAAAACCAGUAAAGGUGAAAUGUCCACACUGUUCACUGCUGUUACAUAAAAAGAAUCUACAUACUCACAUUACUAGGAAGCAUUUAUGCACACCAAGAGAUGUGAAUAGGCAGUCACAUUUUGCCAGUGUUUGUGUUGAUACAAAAAAUGGUAUUGCUGCAGUUCAAAAGUCAGGACAUGGAUUUUCAACACCUAUUCAUGUUAAAAAAAAAAAUUAAGGGCAACAAACAUGAGGUAAUGUGUGAACUGGAGGAAUGCUGGCAAUAUCAGCUAUUAGUACGCAGGAGUCGUCUUGUGUUCAGUGAGUGCCACCACAUACGUUCACUGGAAUACUGCACAGAAGUAGCAGAGGAAGAGAUUCUACAUGCAAGAGUUUUGGAUGAAAUGGUUGCAUGCAAGUUCUUUGCAGCAGCAAAGAAGGCAGUGUGCUUGAAGAGACAAAGGUUAGCAUUGAAAGCUGGAGCACCGUUUUUUGUCCUUGUUGAUCUUGGUGGGUCAAAGUCUUAUAUUUGUUUAUCCAUCCAUGACUCCACAACAUGUUUCAGUCGCCUUGGAAGAAUGAUGGUUACGUUCAGUAUGAAGAACAACAUGUGGCAUUGUCCAUGUGCUAAGCCACAUAUGUCAUGUCCUCAUAAGAACAUUGCAAAGUGGCACAUCUUUCAAAUUAACAGGAACUUGUUCAGAACACAGUUGGAUUCAAAGCCUGACACAGCUUCACAGUCCAAACAGGAACAGGCAACAGAGGACUUGAAGAGGGCAGUGAAAUACAUUUAUGAAAGAAAAAAAAUUCCAGCAAGUCUUCCAGAGGACACAACAACUGCAAAACCACCAUCAGACUACCCAUCAGAUUUAAUUCCAGCGGAGACUUCAUGUGUCCUUUGCUCAAGCAGUCCAAAGUUUGACAUGCCAGUGAAUAUUACAAAUAUGGCCAAAAUAGUAACAACCCUUGGAAUUGCUGAAAAUAUUUCAACCUACUUUAAGAGAUGUCCUGAGUGUCAGAUGACUUACCGUUAUCAGGAGUGGCAAGAUGGACUUCAUAACUUUGAUGAUCAUCUUGUGUUGAGCCUUGAACUAUGUCUUUAUUUAAGACACAGUC